rnacentral:rRNA from 1 species
UAAUGUAUGGGGAUCUGCCUGAUGGCGGGGGAUAACUACUGGAAACGGUAGCUAAUACCGCAUAAUGUCUGCGGACCAAAGCGGGGGACCUCCGGGCCUCGCGCCAUCAGAUGAACCCAUAUGGGAUUAGCUAGUAGGUGAGGUAACGGCUUACCUAGGCGACGAUCCCUAGCUGGUCUGAGAGGAUGAUCAGCCACACUGGAACUGAGACACGGUCCAG